ensembl:snRNA U6 U6 spliceosomal RNA
AUUCUCAUUUUGGCAGCAUAUAUAUGAAAAUUGAAAUGAUAUGGAGAAGCUUAGGAGGGACCCUGGACAAGGAUGACAUGCAAAUCUCUGAAACAUUUCAUAUUUUU